rnacentral:rRNA from 1 species
UACGUAGGUGGCAAGCGUUGUCCGGAUUUAUUGGGCGUAAAGCGAGCGCAGGCGGUUUCUUAAGUCUGAUGUGAAAGCCCUCGGCUCAACCGAGGAAGGUCAUUGGAAACUGGGGAACUUGAGUGCAGAAGAGGAGAGUGGAAUUCCAUGUGUAGCGGUGAAAUGCGUAGAUAUAUGGAGGAACACCAGUGGCGAAGGCGACUCUCUGGUCUGUAACUGACGCUGAGGCUCGAAAGCGUGGGGAGCAAACAGG